rnacentral:misc_RNA from 1 species
GAUGAAGAACGCAGCGAAAUGCGAUAAGUAAUGUGAAUUGCAGAAUUCAGUGAAUCAUCGAAUCUUUGAACGCACAUUGCGCCCCCUGGUAUUCCGGGGGGCAUGCCUGUCCGAGCGUCAUUACAACCCUCAAGCUCAGCUUGGUGUUGGGCCCCGCCGCCCCGGCGGGCCCUAAAGUCAGUGGCGGUGCCGUCCGGCUCCGAGCGUAGUAAUUCUUCUCGCUCUGGAGGUCCGGUCGUGUGCUCGCCAGCAGCCCCCAAUUUUUUUCAGGUUGACCUCGGAUCAGGUAGGGAUACCCGCUGAACUUAAGCAUAUCAAUAAGCGGAGGA